UACGUAGGGUGCAAGCGUUAAUCGGAAUUACUGGGCGUAAAGCGUGCGCAGGCGGUUUUGUAAGUCUGUCGUGAAAUCCCCCGGGCUCAACCUGGGAAUUGCGAUGGAGACUGCAAGGCUAGAAUCUGGCAGAGGGGGGUAGAAUUCCACGUGUGAGCAGUGAAAUGCGUAGAGAUGUGGAGGAACACCGAUGGCGAAGGCAGCCCCUGGGUCAAGAUUGACGCUCAUGCAC
rnacentral:rRNA from 1 species